UUCCCCGUAGCUCAAUCGGCGGAGCAGGCGACUGUUAAUCGCAAGGCUGCUGGUUCGAAUCCAGCCGGGGAAG
rnacentral:tRNA from 3 species